UACGUAGGGUGCGAGCGUUGUCCGGAAUUAUUGGGCGUAAAGAGCUUGUAGGCGGUCUGUCGCGUCUGCUGUGAAAAUCCGGGGCUCAACCCCGGACUUGCAGUGGGUACGGGCAGACUAGAGUGUGGUAGGGGAGACUGGAAUUCCAGGUGUAGCGGUGAAAUGCGUAGAUAUCUGGAGGAACACCGGUGGCGAAGGCGGCAUCCUGGACCGGCAUUGACGCUGAGGCGCGAAAGCCAGGGGAGCAAACGGG
rnacentral:rRNA from 1 species